GAUGAAGGCCUGCGGGUCGUAAAACUCUGUCCUCAAGGAAGAUAAUGACGGUACUUGAGGAGGAAGCCCCGGCUAACUACGUGCCAGCAGCCGCGGUAAUACGUAGGGGGCUAGCGUUAUCCGGAUUGACUGGGCGUAAAGGGUGCGUAGGCGGUCUUUCAAGUCAGGAGUGAAAGGCUACGGCUCAACCGUAGUAAGCUCUUGAAACUGGGAGACUUGAGUGCAGGAGAG
rnacentral:rRNA from 1 species